rnacentral:rRNA from 1 species
GAUGAACGCUGGCGGCGUGCCUAAUACAUGCAAGUCGAGCGAUUGGAUUAAGAGCUUGCCCUUAUGAAGUUAGCGGCGGACGGGUGAGUAACACGUGGGUAACCUGCCCAUAAGACUGGGAUAACUCCGGGAAACCGGGGCUAAUACCGGAUAACAUUUUGAACCGCAUGGUUCGAAAUUGAAAGGCGGCUUCGGCUGUCACUUAUGGAUGGACCCGCGUCGCAUUAGCUAGUUGGUGAGGUAACGGCUCACCAAGGCAACGAUGCGUAGCCGACCUGAGAGGGUGAUCGGCCACACUGGGACUGAGACACGGCCCAGACUCCUACGGGAGGCAGCAGUAGGGAAUCUUCCGCAAUGGACGAAAGUCUGACGGAGCAACGCCGCGUGAGUGAUGAAGGCUUUCGGGUCGUAAAACUCUGUUGUUAGGGAAGAACAAGUGCUAGUUGAAUAAGCUGGCACCUUGACGGUACCUAACCAGAAAGCCACGGCUAACUACGUGCCAGCCGCCGCGGUAA